rnacentral:rRNA from 1 species
GACGAACGCUGGCGGCGUGCUUAACACAUGCAAGUCGAACGAAGAGCGACGGAAGCUUGCUUCUAUCAAACUUAGUGGCGAACGGUUGAGUAACGCGUAAUCAACCUGCCCUUCAGAGGGGGACAACAGUUGGAAACGACUGCUAAUACCGCAUACGAUCUAGUCUCGGCAUCAAGGAUGGAUGAAAGGUUGCCUCUACAUGUAAGCUAUCACUUAAGGAGGGGAUUGCGUCUGAUUAGCUAGCUGGAGGGGUAACGGCCGACCAAGGCGAUGAUCAGUAGCCGGUCUGAGAGGAUGACCGGCCACAUUGGGAAUGAGACACGGCCCAGACUCCUACGGGAGGCAGCAGUGGGGAAUCUUCCGAAAUGGACGAAAGUCUGACGGAGCAACGCCGCGUGAGUGAUGACGGACGUCGGGUUGUAAAGCUCUGUUAUUCGGGACGAAAGGCCUUCUUGCAAAUAGUGAGAAGGAUUGACGGUACCAGAAUAAAAAGCCACGGCUAACUACGUG